UGGGAGUACGGCCGACAAGGUUAAAACUCAAAGGAUUGACGGGGACCGCACAAGCGGUGGAUGAUGUGGAUUAAUUCGAUGCAACGCGAAAAACCUUACCUACCCUUGACAUGUCCAGAAGCCUGAAGAGAUUUGGGUGUGCCCGAAAGGGAACUGGAACACAGGUGCUGCAUGGCUGUCGUCAGCUCGUGUCGUGAGAUGUUGGGUUAAGUCCCGCAACGAGCGCAACCCUUGUCGUUAAUUGCCAUCAUUCAGUUGGGCACUUUAACGAGACUGCCGGUGACAAACCGGAGGAAGGUGGGGAUGACGUCAAGUCCUCAUGGCCCUUAUGGGUAGGGCUUCACACGUCAUACAAUGGUCGGUACAGAGGGUUGCCAAGCCGCGAGGUGGAGCCAAUCCCAGAAAGCCGAUCGUAGUCCGGAUCGCAGGCUGCAACUCGCCUGCGUGAAGUCGGAAUCGCUAGUAAUCGCGGAUCAGCAUGUCGCGGUGAAUACGUUCCCGG
rnacentral:rRNA from 1 species